CUUCCUUCUUUUUCUCUCUCGCUUUGGCCUCUUCCGGUCGGUGGAGUGCCUGUUAGCGCAGGCUGCGGUGUAAAGAUGGCUAAGUCUAAGAACCAUACCACCCAUAACCAAUCACGAAAAUGGCACAGAAAUGGCAUCAAGAAACCUAGGUCACAGAGAUACGAGUCUCUGAAAGGGGUUGACCCCAAGUUUCUGAGAAACAUGCGCUUUGCCAAGAAACACAACAAGAAGGGGCUGAAGAAGAUGCAGGCCAACAACGCCAAAGCC